rnacentral:rRNA from 1 species
GUGAGGAAUAUUGGUCAAUGGACGAGAGUCUGAACCAGCCAAGUCGCGUGAAGGAAGACGGUUCUAUGAAUUGUAAACUUCUUUUGUGCAGGAAUAAAGUGGGUUACGUGUAACCUUUUGUAUGUACUGUACGAAUAAGGAUCGGCUAACUCCGUGCCAGCAGCCGCGGUAAUACGGAGGAUCCGAGCGUUAUCCGGAUUUAUUGGGUUUAAAGUGUGCGUAGGUGGAUUGAUAAGUCAGCGGUGAAAGUUUGCAGCUUAACUGUAAAAUUGCCGUUGAAACAGUCGGUCUUGAGUGCAAAUGAGGUAGGCGGAAUGUGUUGUGUAGCGGUGAAAUGCUUAGAUAUAACACAGAACUCCGAUUGCGAAGGCAGCUUACUGGGAUGCAACUGACACUGAUGCACGAAAGCGUGGGUAUCAAACAGGAUUAGAAACCCUUGUAGUCC